ACGAACGCUGGCGGCGUGCUUAACACAUGCAAGUCGAACGAGAAGAGAUGAGAAGCUUGCUUCUUAUCAAUUCGAGUGGCAAACGGGUGAGUAACGCGUAAGCAACCUGCCCUUCAGAUGGGGACAACAGCUGGAAACGGCUGCUAAUACCGAAUACGUUCUUUUUGUCGCAUGGCAGAGGGAAGAAAGGGAGGCUCUUCGGAGCUUUCGCUGAAGGAGGGGCUUGCGUCUGAUUAGCUAGUUGGAGGGGUAACGGCCCACCAAGGCGACGAUCAGUAGCCGGUCUGAGAGGAUGAACGGCCACAUUGGGACUGAGACACGGCCCAGACUCCUACGGGAGGCAGCAGUGGGGAAUCUUCCGCAAUGGACGAAAGUCUGACGGAGCAACGCCGCGUGAACGAUGACGGCCUUCGGGUUGUAAAGUUCUGUUAUACGGGACGAAUGGCGUAGCGGUCAAUACCCGUUACGAGUGACGGUACCGUAAGAGAAAGCCACGGCUAACUACGUG
rnacentral:rRNA from 1 species